rnacentral:lncRNA from 1 species
GGCGGGGCAGAACGCUCGCUUUGGCUGCGGGAGUGAGUGUGAGUGUGAGAGCAAGAACAGCCCGCAGGUCCCGAGGCGCUUGCAGGGGACUCUGCCGCGGAAAGUUCCCAGUCCCCAGCCGCAGGGGCACGUAUCAAAGUCAUAUGUCCACAUGCCUAGCCAACCCCAUGGUAUUCCUGAAGCCCAUCUGGAUGAGUGGAAUUCAUGUGAAGUCCUUCUACCUAGUUCCCCUUCCUUGUGCACAGAAGAGGACUGGAAAACUCUCCUCAUAGGACUGCAUACUGCUAUCUCUGAGAAGUAAGCAGUAUUUACUUUCUUACUUGUGUUUUCUUGAAUGUAUUUUGCUCUUUUUAUUUA